AACGCCCCUCGUGUCCUGUCGCUCCUGUCGUCCCCUCACGCCCCGCCUCGCUCACGGCCAGUCCCGGGAACACGCCGCCGUUUGUCGUCCCCACUACACACGUCCACAUGCAGUUGUUACGUCACUCCAUCGCGAUUACUCUGAGCUCAUCGCUACAUGGGCCAUCCCGCCGCUGUUAUGCCGCCGCUCCGUCACCACGCCGCUUCAUCACGCCACACUGCCUGCCACUCACCCCUCACCACUAACCACUCCACCCCGAGCUCUUAACACCACCUCCGUCACCACGCUCUUUCAUCACGCCACUCACUCUGUACCACCGCAUCACUCCACUAUUUCAUCCACUGCUCCAUCCAUUCCACACCGCAUAUCCCUCGCUGUCAACGCCGGUUUUCUGUUCAUUACCAAACCAUCAACCACCAGCUAGUCAUAUGUGUGGCUUAUCUUUCUUAACUCCCUCCCGCCGUCCCUCCUUCCUUCUCUUAUCUGAUUCCAAUUUCCUGGAUUUUUUUUUAUCUUUAACGUUUAAGACUCCUAUUUCAUCUAUUUUUUUUGUUACCUUUCAUUUAGAAGUCUGCUCUAGUCAAUAAUGUCAGAAGUAUGAAGUUGUUUUGUUUUCUGUCCUUUAUUUUUGUUCUGCCUCCAGUGUUUAUUGUCAACUUACCAUCAAUUCAACGCAGUUUUCAUUUCUUGGUUAUUUAGUGUUCGUCUUCCCGGUGCCCCGUGUCACCUCGCUCCAACUCUCUUUUUUCUUGUCAUAAUUGCUGUACCUUCCCCGCCUGCUGACCACCUCUCCACACACCAUACUCUCUAACUCUCCACCAUGACUUUCGAGCAUUCUCCGCAGUUCACAGACAUUCUACAGCUCACCAUUCACCUAAUCUCUCUAGUGCUGAUUCUCUUUAGCCACCAUACAUACAUAAACAUACAUUCCGCAUACCAUAUUUUUCCACAACAAUCAUGAUAGUAUGCCAUAUCGCUGCAGCACACUCACCAUACACACACCACCAUUUCAAUACAUACAGUUACCCACACACUAUCAUCCCCACCUUUCAUGAUAGGCACACACCAUACCAGAAUAAUCAACGCCUUUUCCCUCUUACUGCAUCACACAUCCCAUACACCACAGCACACACUUUUCCCGCGUCUUUGCCUUACCUUACCUUAUCUUACCCUCACCUUGGUCCCGCCUUUCACCUCACCACCCUUACUUUCUGGCACCAUAUUUAACCUUCUUCAUUCUUCCCCUAGACACAUAGCACACAUGGUACACACCCCAGCACAUGCAUACAGCACAUCCUGACCUAACCUUACACUCACUCCAACCUCCUGUUCAUACAACUAUCAUCAACAACCUCAUCUUCCGUCAUCAUACUUACAUGCAUAGCGACACCUCACCACUACCACCGCCACGCACCUCGCACGCUGAUGCUACCUCGCCCUCUGCCGCUCCGCCUCGCCGCCCCUCUGCCAUACUCGAGCACCGCCCCGUCGGAGUGUGCCCGGUAGCCGAUACUGCUCAGCCCGGCUCCCUAUACCUCCUCGCCCAUCGACCCGAGCACUGGCUCCUCCCACCACCUCCCACGGCGGAGACACUGACGCGGCCUCGCCCUCGCUAACCCCCGCCAGGCCGCCACCACCGCCCGAGCCACCUGUCACGGAGGGCCACGGCAGGCUAGGUUGUGCGAAGGGCGGGCCGCGACUGGCUGUAGGGCGCGCAGGAAGGACUCCGUGCGCCGCUUCCCCGAGUGUUUCCUUGGUUCGCUAAGUAAAGGAUGAAUUGGUACUUUGAGCAUUCACUUGCGGCGUGUGAAAAAGGAGCUCAUGAUUGAUUCCCUUCAUUAAUCACAACCACCACUGGGUCACGGCGCUGUUUCACCUCCUCCAAUCGUCCCUUCGCUGGCAUGGCCCUGGCUCUUUGACCUCCAGUAGCGGGUCGCCUAUCAACGAGCAGCUCAGGACUUCUGGGAGACUCUGGCUCAGGAUUAUGACAGAUGGAGGAUUUAGGCGACCCCCUACUCAAGGCUUCUCAGGGCUGCGUUGCCCCAACGAAAAUGGACUUCGGUGCUUCCGAUUCCAUAAACUAAGGUAACCUCCGAGUCCCACGCACACCCGUCUGCCUGCCCCCGAGAGACCCAGGCAGCGGCAGCACCUAAGUCUCGCCCGUCGUCAGGCGUCGAGAGUGUCAUCAAGAUGUGUCCUUUAACUGAGCGUCAUUCGAGGUGUCACUUAGACCGCUGCGAAGAAGCAACAAAUAGCGACGAAAAGCGG